rnacentral:rRNA from 1 species
GGUUAAGCGACUAAGCGUACACGGUGGAUGCCCUGGCAGUCAGAGGCGAUGAAGGACGUGCUAAUCUGCGAUAAGCGUCGGUGAGGUGAUAUGAACCGUUAUAACCGGCGAUUUCCGAAUGGGGAAACCCAGUGUGUUUCGACACACUAUCAUUAACUGAAUCCAUAGGUUAAUGAGGCGAACCGGGGGAACUGAAACAUCUAAGUACCCCGAGGAAAAGAAAUCAACCGAGAUUCCCCCAGUAGCGGCGAGCGAACGGGGAGGAGCCCAGAGCCUGAAUCAGUGUGUGUGUUAGUGGAAGCGUCUGGAAAGGCGUGCGAUACAGGGUGACAGCCCCGUACACAAAAAUGCACAUAUUGUGAGCUCGAUGAGUAGGGCGGGACACGUGGUAUCCUGUCUGAAUAUGGGGGGACCAUCCUCCAAGGCUAAAUACUCCUGACUGACCGAUAGUGAACCAGUACCGUGAGGGAAAGGCGAAAAGAACCCCGGCGAGGGGAGUGAAAAAGAACCUGAAACCGUGUACGUACAAGCAGUGGGAGCCUCUUAAUGGGGUGACUGCGUACCUUUUGUAUAAUGGGUCAGCGACUUAUAUUCUGUAGCAAGGUUAACCGAAUAGGGGAGCCGAAGGGAAACCGAGUCUUAACUGGGCGUUAAGUUGCAGGGUAUAGACCCGAAACCCGGUGAUCUAGCCAUGGGCAGGUUGAAGGUUGGGUAACACUAACUGGAGGACCGAACCGACUAAUGUUGAAAAAUUAGCGGAUGA